rnacentral:rRNA from 1 species
UACGUAGGUGGCAAGCGUUGUCCGGAAUUAUUGGGCGUAAAGCGCGCGCAGGCGGUCUCUUAAGUCUGAUGUGAAAGCCCACGGCUCAACCGUGGAGGGUCAUUGGAAACUGGGGGACUUGAGUACAGAAGAGGAAAGUGGAAUUCCACGUGUAGCGGUGAAAUGCGUAGAUAUGUGGAGGAACACCAGUGGCGAAGGCGACUUUCUGGUCUGUAACUGACGCUGAGGCGCGAAAGCGUGGGGAGCAAACAGG